UGCAGUCGAACGAUAGAUAGAAGCUUGCUUUUAUCGAAAGUGGCGCACGGGUGCGUAACGCGUAUGCAACCUACCUUAAUCUGGGGGAUAGCCCGGAGAAAUCCGGAUUAACACCGCAUAAAAACACAGGAUAGCAUUAUCCAAUGUUCAAAUAUUUAUAGGAUUGAGAUGGGCAUGCGUGUCAUUAGCUAGUUGGCGGGGUAACGGCCCACCAAGGCGACGAUGACUAGGGGAUCUGAGAGGAUGGCCCCCCACACUGGUACUGAGACACGGACCAGACUCCUACGGGAGGCAGCAGUAAGGAAUAUUGGUCAAUGGAGGCAACUCUGAACCAGCCAUGCCGCGUGCAGGAAGACUGCCCUAUGGGUUGUAAACUGCUUUUAUCCGGGAAUAAACCUACUUACGUGUAAGUAGCUGAAUGUACCGGAAGAAUAAGGAUCGGCUAACUCCGUGCCAGCAGCCGCGGUAAUACGGAGGAUCCAAGCGUUAUCCGGAUUUAUUGGGUUUAAAGGGUGCGUAGGCGGCCUGUUAAGUCAGGGGUGAAAGACGGUAGCUCAACUAUCGCAGUGCCCUUGAUACUGAUGGGCUUGAAUGGACUAGAGGUAGGCGGAAUGAGACAAGUAGCGGUGAAAUGCAUAGAUAUGUCUCAGAACACCGAUUGCGAAGGCAGCUUACUAUGGUCUUAUUGACGCUGAGGCACGAAAGCGUGGGGAUCAAACAGGAUUAGAUACCCUGGUAGUCCACGCCCUAAACGAUGAACACUCGCUGUUGGCGAUACACAGUCAGCGGCUAAGCGAAAGCGUUAAGUGUUCCACCUGGGGAGUACGCCCGCAAGGGUGAAACUCAAAGGAAUUGACGGGGGCCCGCACAAGCGGAGGAGCAUGUGGUUUAAUUCGAUGAUACGCGAGGAACCUUACCCGGGCUUGAAAGUUAGUGAAUGAUCUAGAGAUAGAUCAGUCCGCAAGGACACGAAACUAGGUGCUGCAUGGCUGUCGUCAGCUCGUGCCGUGAGGUGUUGGGUUAAGUCCCGCAACGAGCGCAACCCCUAUGUUUAGUUGCCAGCACGUCAUGGUGGGGACUCUAAACAGACUGCCUGUGCAAACAGAGAGGAAGGAGGGGACGACGUCAAGUCAUCAUGGCCCUUACGUCCGGGGCUACACACGUGCUACAAUGGAUGGUACAGAGGGCAGCUACAUAGCAAUAUGAUGCGAAUCUCACAAAGCCAUUCACAGUUCGGAUUGGGGUCUGCAACUCGACCCCAUGAAGUUGGAUUCGCUAGUAAUCGCGUAUCAGCAAUGACGCGGUGAAUACGUUCCCGGGCCUUGUACACACCGCCCGUCAAGCCAUGGAAGCUGGGGGUACCUAAAGUAUGAACCGCAAG
rnacentral:rRNA from 1 species